rnacentral:rRNA from 1 species
CCUACGGGAGGCAGCAGUAGGGAAUCUUCCGCAAUGGACGAAAGUCUGACGGAGCAACGCCGCGUGAACGAUGAAGGCCUUCGGGUCGUAAAGUUCUGUUGUUAGGGAAGAACAAGUGCUAGUUAAAUAAGCUGGCACCUUGACGGUACCUAACCAGAAAGCCACGGCUAACUACGUGCCAGCAGCCGCGGUAAUACGUAGGUGGCAAGCGUUGUCCGGAAUUAUUGGGCGUAAAGCGCGCGCAGGCGGCUUCUUAAGUCUGAUGUGAAAGCCCCCGGCUCAACCGGGGAGGGUCAUUGGAAACUGGGAAACUUGAGUGCAGAAGAGGAAAGUGGAAUUCCAAGUGUAGCGGUGAAAUGCGUAGAGAUUUGGAGGAACACCAGUGGCGAAGGCGACUUUCUGGUCUGUAACUGACGCUGAGGCGCGAAAGCGUGGGGAGCAAACAGGAUUAGAUACCCUGGUAGUCCACGCUGUAAACGAUGAGUGCUAGUAGUUAGGUAGGGUUUACCGGUCCCGUUUACGUUGUCGUGUAAGUUAACGUACGAUUAAGUACACCUCCGCCGUCGGGGAGGUACGGUCGGCGAGACGUAGUAAACGUACGAAAGGUUAAAGUUAGUACGGCGUUGAGACGUUGCCGACGGACGACGACGAGGGAGGUUAGG